AGCAUGAUUUCCUCUGCGUGUGAUAUGCGUAGUUUUGUUUUCACACAGCUACACUGAUAGUACCUCGGCGCAGUGUGUGCGUUUGUGGUGUGUCGGUUUAUAGAAUUGAAAUAUGCACGCGCACUGAAUUGCAUUCGAUUCGGGGGUUCAUUUCGUCGUGUGGUAGAUGCUAAGCGGAGCACCUUUUGCCUGCGUACGAUAGCGAUAGCGAUAGCGCAUGUUCGGCGCAGUUACUCCGUGUGAGCAUAUGAACUACACAGUGGAAAUUGUCCAUUGAGGUUAGCAGAAUCUGAAGGGUUCUUACUACAAACAUUUUUAUUCAUGAGAUGUUAGACUUUUUUCUGGGAAGGGGGAAGAUGUGUGGUGUGCACUUACUGUACAACUAAUGUUACAGCAACUGAAUGGUCAAAGCAUAUGUCAAACUGCCUUCAAUCGACAAGCGAUAGUCGACUGCGUCAGCGACAACCGGUUUCGCCGAGCACAGAGAAUGCCGCCAUCAUCGGUCCUCUUACAGAUAACGGACUUCGACGAGGUAAGACGUGUUUCUCGAGUGUGCUGGUUGAUUCUUUACUUGCUGUGGAUUUCACAGUUUCGAAAUGAUGAAAUAGCAGUUUACUUAAUUAUUUUAAAAUUUAAAACUGUAGAAUUAACGCACCUGUACUAUAAAAAUAAUGCAAUCCGAUAAGCAAAUGUGUUGAGAGGUUAUAUCGAAGCAGUGUCGUUCCCGUUCCCGAUCCAUGGAGCGAAUGCAUGGGAUAACUGAAAACGUCUCCGAUUAGUUUAUCUCAUUCGAAAUUAUUCUGUUCCGGCAUCGCGGGACGUGGUACUUCAACAUUUCGCUGAAGUAAACAAAACCUGUUCAGUAUGAAAUCGAUAAAAAACCACAUAAAAACUUACUUGAACUGAAAAAGCGGUAUAUUAUCGUGUUUACCGUCGGCACGACUUGCGAUUUUGUCUCUUUUCAGGAUUUUUGGAACUUUUAAAAUCGAGAAAUAUUGAAAAAACUUCAGUACUUCGAACUAAUUGAGGAUUUGUUAUUACUAACUUCGUUGUGUGUGUAACACAUGCGCUCUCCGUGUGUAUACACUGGAGAAAUAGUUUAGUAAAAGCAGCUAACAAAUCUUUAGUAGCAAAAACAUUGGUAAAAUAUACACAUUUUUUGUAAAUAUUACUAAAAUUGCGUAAAAAAGAUGUCAGACGCAAUGAAUGUUCCUACCAGGAAUUCGUAUAUUUUACUUCAUACCAUUAGUAAGUUUGUUUUUAUUGUCAUACCUAACAACUGUGAUGUGCGCACUUUGUCUUUUGUCUUUUGGAGACGAAGCGAUUCGGAGGUAAGCACUUUGUUUUUAUUGAAUUCAAUUAUGUAUUCAUCUCCCCCGAGAAUUUGUUUUCAUAUUUUCGGCGGGGAAAAUUGACCUAAUACCAUUUUUUUCUUUUUUAGUUGACCUUAAAAUUAUAUGCAGUACAAUCAUUCAUCAUAAACAAAUCGGAGAUAAGUAUUCGUUUUUUUUACAUCAUUACAUCAGUUACCUCGGUUGGGAAACUAUUUUCAUAUUCCCGCCAAGGAUAAACAUCAGUUAUAUUCUAUACAUUACAACACUUUUGACCUUUUUCCUUGUCUUUACAGCUGGCAUGAUCCCAGACUCGUAAUACUUAUUUACCAAAAACCAUCCAAGUUAUGGGAUUGAAGGUAACGGCGAGUUUGUCGCUAAGAUUGGAAUCUUUCUUCAACACAUCAUCGACCGUAAAAAACUUAAGGGACACGAGAGAGCAAAAUACGGAUGAAACGUGCUCAUUCUACCGUCACUCUGCUAAUCAGCUGCUAAUCAGCUAAUGCAAAUCAGAGCGAUGCAGCAGGAAGAGGAACGGGAACUUGCUUUGGAAAUGCUCAUCAAAUUGAGGUGGUUGAGGCUGCGAUUAAAAUUUGCCUCAUGUACGCAGUUUAUAGAAUGAUUCCAACGAGAAUUAUUGAUGUUGUUUAUAGAAUAAGUUAUUAGUAUAAUGUAUUCUAAGUAUGUAGAAUUAAACGCAAUCAAAUACAAUUUUUUAAAUUAAAAAUAAUCAUUAAAAAAUAUUGUCAUUAUCCCUGAUGAUUA